rnacentral:rRNA from 1 species
AUUGAACGCUGGCGGAAUGCUUUACACAUGCAAGUCGAACGGCAGCACGGGAGCUUGCUCCUGGUGGCGAGUGGCGAACGGGUGAGUAACAUAUCGGAACGUACCCAGUCGUGGGGGAUAACUAUCCGAAAGGAUAGCUAAUACCGCAUACGUCCUGAGGGAGAAAGCGGGGGAUCGCAAGACCUCGCGCGAUUGGAGCGGCCGAUAUCGGAUUAGCUAGUUGGUGGGGUAAAGGCUCACCAAGGCGACGAUCCGUAGCGGGUCUGAGAGGACGACCCGCCACACUGGAACUGAGACACGGUCCAGACUCCUACGGGGGGCAGCAGUGGGGAAUUUUGGACAAUGGGGGCAACCCUGAUCCAGCCAUUCCGCGUGAGUGAAGAAGGCCUUCGGGUUGUAAAGCUCUUUCAGCAGGAACGAAACGGUCGGCUUUAAUAAAGUCGGCUAAUGACGGUACCUGCAGAAGAAGCACCGGCUAACUACGUG